rnacentral:lncRNA from 1 species
UAUGACAUAUAUAGAAUUAAAAAAAAACAUCAAAUAAUUUAUUUUCCCUUUUUUUUUUUUUGUGUUUUUCUUUUUUUUUAUUAGCCUAUACAUUUAUCUUCCAGGAUCAACUUAUUUUUAAGAAAUCAGAGCUGGAUCUUCAAUACAACAUUCCUGAAGAUAUGUUUUAUGAACCGAUAAAAAUAAAUACAUCAGAUGAAUUAGUUCAUACUUGCUGGCUCGUUAAAACACCUGAUACUAAUAAUAAAUCUGUAAUUCUUUUUUUUUCUGGAAAUGGAGGAUGUAAGUUAUUAAGCUUUCUAAUUUAUCUUGAAAUGUUACUUAUUGCUAAAUUGGUGACAUCAACAUAAUCACACCAUGUGUAUGUAUAUCAUUUAAGUUAUAUUGUAUGCUACCAUAAACUAUAUAUUAUAUUCACUUCAUGCAUGCAUGUAUGUUUUUUUUUUCGUUUUUUUGUUCUGUUAACACAUAUUUUUGUUUAAUUGUAUAAAUAUUUACAGAUAUACAGAAGUCUGCUAAUUUUUUUAAUGAGUU